rnacentral:rRNA from 1 species
UACGGAGGAUGCGAGCGUUAUCCGGAUUUAUUGGGUUUAAAGGGUGCGUAGGCGGUUCGUUAAGUCAGUGGUCAAAUUGAGGGGCUCAACCCCUUCCCGCCAUUGAAACUGGCGAUCUUGAGUGGAAGAGAAGUAUGCGGAAUGCGUGGUGUAGCGGUGAAAUGCAUAGAUAUCACGCAGAACCCCGAUUGCGAAGGCAGCAUGCCGGCUUCCUACUGACGCUGAAGCACGAAAGCGUGGGGAUCGAACAGG